CUGGGAUGGAUUGGUUCUGGGAUUAGACUCAUACUGGGAUGGACUGGUACUGCAGUGCUUCAUUACUGGGAUGGACUGGUUCUGGAUUGGUACUGGGAUAGACUGGUACUGAGGUGGUCCAUUACUGGGAUAGACUGGUACUGGGAUGGGCUGGGAAUGGGAUGGACUGGUACUGGGAUGCUCCAUUACUGGGAUAGACUGGUACUGGGAUGGAUUGGUUUUGGGAUGGAUUGGUACUGGGAUGGACUGGUAUUGAGGUGCUCCAUUACUGGGAUGGACCAGUACUGGGAUAAACUGGUGCUGGGAUAAACCAGUACUGGGAUGGAUUGGUUCUGGGAUUAGAUUCGUACUGGGAUGGACUGGUACUGAGGUGCUCCAUUACUGGGAUAGACUGGUACUGGGAUGGAUUGGUACUGGGGAGCUCCAUUACUGGGAUGGACUGGUUCUAGGAUAGGUUGGUACCGUGUUGUUCCAUCACUGGGAUUGUUCCAUACUGGGAUGGACUGGUUCUGGGAUGGGUUGGUACUGGAAUAGAUUGGUAUUGUGUUGUUCCA